rnacentral:misc_RNA from 1 species
GUAGGUGAACCUGCGGAAGGAUCAUUAACACUUUUUAUCCAAAAUAUAAAAAACUAAACGUGAACUUUUCCCCUCCCUACAUUUUUCAAAAAAAAAAUGUAGGCUAACAUUUUAUUUUUAUUUAAAACCACUUUAAAUUUUUAUAAGUCCUUUGUAAAAAAAAGACUUGACUAACUAAAAAUUUUACUUAAGAUGUCAAAAUUUUGUUGAUCUCUUAAUUAAUAUUUUUUCUAUACGAAAUAAAUAUUAC